CAGCCACAUCCCCUCGUCAUCCGUGAUCCGUCGCAUCCCCAUUCCCUCGAGAUCAGUCGCAUCGUCAUCUCCAGCUCUCACGCACAAGAGUGAAAUCAGGAGGGGAUUGAUCGAUGGUAGAUCCACGCGCCGUCGUGCGGAGCGGCCGGCUGUAGCCGAGCUGGUGACUCACCUAACCUUGCCAGCCGCCAGCGCUGGCCGCCGCACGCCGUCGCCCCAGCCGCCGCUCGCGCUCCGCCCUCCGGCCUGCCUCAGCCGUCACCGCGCAGCUGUACCCCAAGACCGCACCGGCCGCCGUCCCCGCUCCGCCCUCCGGGCUGCCUCGCCGCCGCACGCCGUCUGCUAACCCAGUCAUCGCCUCGGCCGCCACCUCCCCCGCACGAUUUAGUAUUGGGAGCGUAUCCGAAUGAUACAAUCCGACACCAUGUAUGACAAGCCUGUUGAUGACACGAUGGGACAGGAGAGUAGCUUUACAAAGAGACAAAUAUGAUAGGUCUCAUGGUUAUGGUGUACGGAAGGUUAUCAUGGAUAUGGCGGGUGCGUCUGGCAAACCAUCGCGGUCUUUGGAAGAGCUAUUAACUGCUGUCAAUGGUAUUAAGGAGCAAAAUAACCAAAUUUUAAGUUCAUUGCGGGCGAUGGAUUCUAGAAUUGUCGACACGACAGGAAAAGUGUCGAUACUAGAGAAAACAAUAGCUACAUGGAUUAAAAAAAAUAAUGAUUAGAAAAAUAUUUUCCCAGGGAGAUGUGGAUGUUUUCAGGCGGAAAAUUCUGGUUGAGUUGCUGUUUUCAACGAAAAAUAUCGUUCAAGAUCCAUCCAAGGAAAUUAAGGAUUUGUUAGAUUCACUUUGAAUCCAACGUGCCUACAGCCUGCAACUCCCUUUUUUCUCUUUAGUAAACACAGGACAUCUUUAUUUUUUUUAGGAGGGAGUCAGAAUAAAUACUCAAUUGUAAUAACACGAAGUGCAUGUUGCAUUUCAUUUAUUACAUUAGACUUCGUUAUUUAUUUGGUUAUUUUCUGGAACAACCAGACAACCGAUUCCAGCUGUGUCACUUUGCAGAACCUUUUGUUUUUCUGAAUUCAACUACUCUCUUUUGAUUUCUUCAGUACUGUCAUGCUGCAUAUGCCUAUGCGUGGGUAAAAAUAAUUUUACUGUGCUAUGUGAACCUCUACAUUUAUA